AGUGAACGCUGGCGGUAGGCCUAACACAUGCAAGUCGAACGGCAGCACAGUAAGAGCUUGCUCUUACGGGUGGCGAGUGGCGGACGGGUGAGGAAUACAUCGGAAUCUACUUUUUCGUGGGGGAUAACGUAGGGAAACUUACGCUAAUACCGCAUACGACCUACGGGGGAAAGCAGGGGAUCUUCGGACCUUGCGCGAUUGAAUGAGCCGAUGUCGGAUUAGCUAGUUGGCGGGGUAAAGGCCCACCAAGGCGACGAUCCGUAGCUGGUCUGAGGGGAUGGUCAGCCACACUGGAACUGAGACACGGUCCAGACUCCUACGGGAGGCAGCAGUGGGGAAUAUUGGACAAUGGGCGCAAGCCUGGUCCAGCCAUACCGCGUGGGUGAAGAAGGCCUUCGGGUUGUAAAGCCCUUUUGUUGGGAAAGAAAAGCAGCAGGCUAAUACCCCGCUGUUCUGACGGUACCCAAAGAAUAAGCACCGGCUAACUUCGUG
rnacentral:rRNA from 1 species